rnacentral:rRNA from 1 species
ACUCAAAGGAAUAGACGGGGGCCCGCACAAGCGGUGGAGCAUGUGGUUUAAUUCGAUGCAACGCGAAGAACCUUACCUACCCUUGACAUACAGUGAAUUUUGCAGAGAUGCGAAAGUGCCUUCGGGAACACUGAUACAGGUGCUGCAUGGCUGUCGUCAGCUCGUGUCGUGAGAUGUUGGGUUAAGUCCCGUAACGAGCGCAACCCUUAUCCUUAGUUGCCAGCGAGUAAUGUCGGGAACUCUAAGGAGACUGCCGGUGACAAACCGGAGGAAGGCGGGGACGACGUCAAGUCAUCAUGGCCCUUACGGGUAGGGCUACACACGUGCUACAAUGGUUAGUACAGAGGGAAGCGAAGCGGCGACGUGGAGCAAACCCUAAAAAGCUAAUCGUAGUCCGGAUUGAAGUCUGCAACUCGACUUCAUGAAGUCGGAAUCGCUAGUAAUCGCGAAUCAGCAUGUCGCGGUGAAUACGUUCCCGGGCCUUGUACACACCGCCCGU